rnacentral:rRNA from 1 species
AUUGAACGCUGGCGGCAUGCCUUACACAUGCAAGUCGAACGGCAGCACGGGGCAACCUGGUGGCGAGUGGCGAACGGGUGAGUAAUGCAUCGGAACGUACCUUUCAGUGGGGGAUAACGUAGCGAAAGUUACGCUAAUACCGCAUAUUCUGUGAGCAGGAAAGCAGGGGAUCGCAAGACCUUGCGCUGAUUGAGCGGCCGAUGUCAGAUUAGCUAGCUGGUGAGGUAAAGGCUCACCAAGGGGACGAUCUGUAGCGGGUCUGAGAGGAUGAUCCGCCACACUGGAACUGAGACACGGUCCAGACUCCUACGGGAGGCAGCAGUGGGGAAUUUUGGACAAUGGGGGCAACCCUGAUCCAGCCAUGCCGCGUGAGUGAAGAAGGCCUUCGGGUCGUAAAGCUCUUUCGGCCGGGAAGAAAUCGCACGGGCUAAUACCCUGUGUGGAUGACGGUACCGGAAUAAGAAGCACCGGCUAACUACGUGCCAGCCGCCGCGGUAAAAC